AACGCACAUUGCGCCCGCCAGUAUUCUGGCGGGCAUGCCUGUUCGAGCGUCAUUUCAACCCUCAAGCUCAGCUUGGUGUUGGGGAUCGGCAGGGCGUCCUUCGGGUCGCGCCGUCCCCCAAAUUUAGUGGCGGUCUCGCUGUAGCUUCCUCUGCGUAGUAAUACACCUCGCUCUGGAGUCUCGGUGCGACCACGCCGUAAAACCCCCAACUUUUUCUGGUUGACCUCGAAUCAGGUAGGACUACCCGCUGAACUUAA
rnacentral:misc_RNA from 1 species